CCAAGCUAGAUUGGGGCGUCAGAGCCAAGGGAAAAGGACAACUGGUGUUCACCUCAGUACUCAGUAAGGCUUACUUACGUCAGCGCUGAACUGGUUUCAUGUCUGUGGACUCACUUUCAGUCAUUUCUGGAGCAAUCAAGGUGGCAGUGGUUGGUAUUGGUUGAACAUGGCAGCCCCAGAUCUUUCCUUCAAGAGAUUCUCAGACAUCAAGAUUCUUGUUCUCCCUAAUGACAAGAAUACAAUGGCAAUUCAACAACCUUCCAUUUAAAUGCAAAUCUCUGUAUGAAUGAAGUUCAAGACUGCCACUGAGAAAAAUAAUCCAUUCUGAAGCAAAUUGAGAAUUUACCACAGGAACCAUGAAAGUAUUUUUGAUGUUAAGAACAGUGCAACAAAUUUACUUGCAUACUUUGAAAUUAAAUUUCAAUAAUUUA